AUGGACAGUGAUGUUCUUGCAAUGGGAUUCUUCCAUGGAUUAAUGCUUGAGGCAAAGAAACAUAUUGCUGAGAGGUUUGAUAAUGAUGAGAGCAAGUACAAAGUUGCUUGGGACAUCAUUGAUAAAAGGUGGGACAGCAAGCUCAAUACUCCUCUCCACUUGGCUCGCUACUAUUUGAAUCCUCACUAUUAUUACCCAAACAAGUUAGAGAUUGAGCAUGAUGGAUCAUUUAGACCUGCUGUUAUUACCUGCAUUUGCAAGAUGAUUGAGGACGAAGAAACCCAAGACAUUGUAAUUGAAGAACUCAACAUGUAUCAAGAUCAACAAGGAUCUUUCAGCCAUGAGAUUGCUAUAAGGCAAAGGAGAAACAAGAAUUUUAAUCCAGCAAAAUGGUGGCUAAACCAUGGCACCAGCACACCAAAGUUGAGAACUUUGGCAUCUAGGAUUCUUAAUUUGACAUGUAGGUCAUCAGCUUGUGAGAGGAACUGGUCAGCUUUUGAAGAGGUUCAUACAAAGAAAGGAACUUUUAGGCUGCUGCAUGACAGGAUGAGGGAUCUUGUGUUUGUGAAAUUCAACUCUAAACUAAGGAACAAGAGAGAGAACAAAAACAGAGAUCCCAUAGAGAAAGAAGUAGAUGAUGUUCUUGCUGAUUAG
rnacentral:rRNA from 1 species